UAUUGCUGCACCUCAGCCUUUCCUGUUCUGCAGGAGGGGGUUUGGGCAGCACCACAGGGCUGAUGCAGAGAUGGAAAAUUCCCUCUGUAACCCAAAUGGAUGAGUUCAUGCAAGACAACACUUGCCUACCUGCCGCAUCUGAUUCAAAUGCGCCUCUACCUCAGAUGCAUAUGCUGAUGCUGGCCAGCACAGGCUACAGGAAAAGCUCAUAACUGCUGCACCGAGGCACUUCAUUUAGCCCAUGAAAUUCAUGAGAGAAGCUUCUUUCCCAGUCAAUGGGGAGAUGCAGGCUCCUGCUCUGAGUCAGCUGAUGAAGGAACAUGACUGAAGUGAUCUGAAUUGCCCUCGGCAGGAGCCAACCUGUCUCUGCUGACUGAGGGAGGUGGCUGAGUACCUCCGUAUACAUCUUCAGAGAAGUUGCAGCUUCUAUUAAAAACUGCUUCUUUAGCAAUGUUGAGUCAAGUGCACUCAGCCUCCUCUACAGCAGGCCUCUUCUCCUGCAACUUUAUUCCUCGUAUCAAGCAUAGCUGCAUAAACAAUACAAAAAUACUCUGUCUUGUAGCAAAAA